AGAUUAAUGUCAGACCGGGCAAGACACGAACAGUUGGCGAGACAACGCUUGGAAGAACGUAAAAAUAGAAAGAAACAGAAAGCACUAAGUGACGGCGAUGUUGUUAAAGAAGGCGACAACGGUCAACUGCAAGAAGCUGUUCUGAAAUUCUUGGAAAACAAACAUUGCGAGGAGAGAGAGGUUCUGGUAAAGUUACUCGAGAGCGAAGAAAACAAUCUUCAUGAUCUUGCCCAGUCGAUGACAUCUGAACAGCGGGAAGAACACGUUCGUAAUCUUAAACUGAAGAAAAAUUCUUUGAACAAAGGUUUGAAGACAAAUUAAAUUUUUAACUCCCUUUUCAAAUGGCAGAACUCCCCUUCACAAAUGCAAGAACUCCCUUUUCAAAUGCCAGAACCCCCUUUUCAAAUGCCAGAACUUGGUUUUCAAAUGCCAGAACUCCCUUUUCAAAUGCCAGAACUUGGUUUUCAAGUGCCAGAACGCUUCAAAUGGCAGAACUUGGUUUUCAAAUGCCAGAACUCCGUUUUUAAAAGCCAGAACUCCGUUUUCAAACGCUAGAACUCCCUUUUCAAAUGGCAGAACUUGGUUUUCAAACGCCAGAAUUCCAUAAUCUCUGCCAUGUCACUCAGAAUAAUACAAAAGGCAUGCAUGUCUUACUGUAGCAUGUCUUACUGUAGUGUAUUGGUCCAGUGUUACUGCAGGAGAAGACCUAAACUAAACUAAACUAACUUAAGUUUACUUCUACUGGAUAUGUUCUUUUCUAAACCAUAUGCUUUCUGACUUCAUUCUCAGAUGACGCUGACCUACAUCGC